UGAGGAAUAUUGGUCAAUGGACGCAAGUCUGAACCAGCCAAGUAGCGUGCAGGAUGACGGCCCUAUGGGUUGUAAACGGCUUUUAUAUGGGGAUAAAGUGGGGAACGUGUUCCCUUUUGCAGGUACCAUAUGAAUAAGGACCGGCUAAUUCCGUGCCAGCAGCCGCGGUAAUACGGAAGGUUCGGGCGUUAUCCGGAUUUAUUGGGUUUAAAGGGAGCGUAGGCCGUUUGGUAAGCGUGUUGUGAAAUGUAGGAGCUCAACUUCUAGAUUGCAGCGCGAACUGUCAGACUUGAGUGCGCACAACGUAGGCGGAAUUCAUCGUGUAGCGGUGAGAUGCUUAGAUAUCAUGAAGAACUCCGAUUGCGAAGGCAGCUUACAGGAGCGCAACUGACGCUGAAGCUCGAAGGUGCGGGUAUCGAACAGG
rnacentral:rRNA from 1 species